rnacentral:rRNA from 1 species
UACGUAGGGGGCAAGCGUUGUCCGGAAUCAUUGGGCGUAAAGCGCGCGUAGGCGGCCCGGUAAGUCCGCUGUAAAAGUCCAGGGCUCAACCCUGGAAAGCCGGUGGAUACUGUCGGGCUAGAGUCCGGAAGAGGCGAGUGGAAUUCCCGGUGUAGCGGUGAAAUGCGCAGAUAUCGGGAGGAACACCUAUGGCGAAGGCAGCUCGCUGGGACGUUACUGACGCUGAGGAGCGAAAGCGUGGGGAGCGAACAGG